UUAUAAUAUGCCUUUUUUUAUUUAUCUAACAUGUAAAAAAAAUCUUUUUCCGGCCCACAAUAUAGGUCUACAAAAAGUAUGCUAAAUGAUUAAAGACUAUGCUUCUGGAACAUUGGCAUAGUUAACCAGUUCUCCAUUGUUGGACACUUAGGAUAUAUUCAAUUCUAUAAAAUAAAUUUUAUUAAGGCCAAAUUUUUAUUCUAUCCACUAAUGAUAUAUUCAAUUGUGAUUCAGUUAUAAUAUUCAAUUGGGCAGAAUAUGUGAGUACACCAUAUCUUUUUCCUUUUUGAUGGGAUUCAGACAAAAAUGAAAUGGAUUGGAAUUCCUCUCUUUUUAAGGCUCAAACUUGUAGCAGUAUUACAAAUAGCCAGUGCUUUUAGGUGUGUGUGCACCUCCUAAUCCUCGCUGUUAUAAAAACAAAUACCCAUCAACUGUGCUGGAGGGAAAGCUGAAUUACCUUUUCUCUCCCUCUGCAGAAAAUGGUUUCAUAAAGUUGUUGCUAUAUGGGAAAAUGACUGAAAGGAAAAUAGGGCAGAAAAAGCACUUUGUCAAGAAGUUAAUUAAUGAAAAUACUAUUAGUUUCCAGAUUUUGAGAUAUUUGUUGCAAUAUUUUACUUAAUUUACUAUUUUGUGGCAUAUUUUACUUAUUGUGGUGCGUUUUCUCAUUCUAAAUAGAUGUAUUUUGGUACUUAACUCUGUAUUGUGAUUUUUGCAUUUUUUCCCCUAUGAUUGUGCAAGUUUAUGCCUGUCAGAGCCUACGUGCACACCUGGUAACCCCUGUAUUUCCCAGGUACAGUGUGGGCCACGGAGAAAUUCCCUCAGCUAAUGUUUAUGGACCAGAACUGAUGGCGCCAGAUUUGGCUAGUGCGCAUGCAGCCCCACCAAAAGGCACGGAGAUGAACAAGAGGAGCAGGAGAGCUGAAGAGUUGAGUGGAAGCCUGGGUUGAGGUCUGGACAACUCAUCAACCAAGAAGGACUGCACACUGACAAUAAAAGAAUCCACUUAAUUAAAAAGCA
rnacentral:lncRNA from 12 species